ACUAGCAUUGUGUGCCACAUUUUCAGAAGAGAGAGGGGGAGACACAUUGGAACUGACAUCACAGUGUUUGUGUUUUUACCUUCUGAGGCAUGGAAAGGUCAGACACAAUCCAGGAGCAGUUACAAGGAAUCAUAGCAACAUCAUGACCACAUGAAUAAAAUGCAAUUUGCUUCUGCUGCCCUGAUGCUCAACACAUUUACUUGUGAGUAAGCAUCAUUUUGUAUAGAAUAUACCCAAGAUGGGCCCAAGACCAGAUGGCUACACUCUUUGAGGAUGAAGUUGUUGGAUUUUGGAGUGACCUUGACUCUGCUGUUGCUGCAGUUUCAGAUGAAGUAUCCAAUGCUGGAGUCAGUGAUGUGUUCGGUUUCAGCUUAUACAGUCAGCUGAUGUGGACAAGAUUCCUGCAAGGACGACCUGAGUGGAACAGAAAACGCUGUUUGGAGACAGGAUGAAUCUUCAGCUACCCCCUAAUCUGUCCAGCUGCUUGGGCAGUUUCUGAGCCCUACUGUCCAGAGCCCCUCCCUUCAACCCAACUCUAUGAAAAAACUAAACAGGGAAGGUUUUGGUUUAUGUAAGCUUAGUGGACACAGAACUUAGCAAAACCCCAUGAAAUGUCUUUAUAUUUCACUCCAUCGGUGGAUGGAGCCUAGGACACCUCUGUGAGUUGCUUGCUGGGCACUUUGAGGACAACAUCAUUCAUCUCUGUAGUGAACUAGAUGCCAUGACUGAUGCAGCUCCAAGUGAGGUUUCCAAAACUCCAACGAGCUGUGUUUUGUGGGAUCGGUUUCAGGUUUUGCAGCCUGUUAAUGUUGACAGGGUGCUUGUGAGCAUGUGCCCGAUGACAUGUCCUGUCACCCUUUGCCCUUCAUGGCUGAUUAAAGCUAGCAGGCAGGGCAUGACUGUGUGGGUUCACGGUGCGGUGAAUGCAUCUUUGCAUGACGGGGUGGUGACUGCUGCCUUGAAGGAGGCACUAGUGUGGCCGCUCCUGAAAAAACUCACUUGGGACCCAAUGGUAUUUAACAACUACCAUCCAAUCGCAAAUACCCCUUUAUAUAAUUUUAUUCUGUACCGGUAUCCUUUAGUAAAAUCUAUUUACAUAAAAAUGCUCUUGAUCUAGCUUGCUGUAAAAUAUUUUCUCACCCAGUAUAUGUAUUAGCAACUCAAUUAAAGAAGCAUGAAAGUCAAAGGCAAAGCUCUGUCAUUAAAACAUUUUUUGGUACCUCUAUGUCCUUGUAUAUUUAUCUGGCUCUGUAAUAUCAAGC